UCUAAUAUGGCAGAAUAAAUGCAUUGGUCUUAAAAUCCAUUUAUAAAGUUUUACUUUUUUUAGAA
rnacentral:tRNA from 1 species